rnacentral:rRNA from 1 species
CCUACGGGUGGCAGCAGUGAGGAAUAUUGAUCAAUGGACGAGAGUCUGAACCAGCCAAGUAGCGUGAAGGAUGACUGCCCUAUGGGUUGUAAACUUCUUUUAUAAAGGAAUAAAACGAGGCACGUGUGCCUUUUUGCAUGUACGUUAUGAAUAAGGAUCGGCUAAAUCCGUGCCAGCAGCCGCGGUAAUACGGAGGAUCCGAGCGUUAUCCGGAUGUAUUGGGUUUAAAGGGAGCGUAGAUGGGUUGUUAAGUCAGUUGUGAAAGUUUGCGGCUCAACCGUAAAAUUGCAAUUGAUACUGGCAGUCUUGAGUACAGUUGAGGUAGGCGGAAUUCGUGGUGUAGCGGUGAAAUGCUUAGAUAUCACGAAGAACCCCGAUUGCGAAGGCAGCUUACUAAACUGUGACUGACAUUGAUGCUCGAAAGUGUGGGUAUCAAACAGGAUUAGAUACCCGAGUAGUC